rnacentral:rRNA from 1 species
CCGCGCGUCGCAGGGAUAGACGGCCCUACGGGUUGUAAACUGCUUUUAUACAGGAAGAAACACCCCGACGUGUCGGGGCUUGACGGUACUGUAAGAAUAAGGAUCGGCUAACUCCGUGCCAGCAGCCGCGGUAAUACGGAGGAUUCGAGCGUUAUCCGGAAUCAUUGGGUUUAAAGGGUCCGCAGGCGGUUUUUUAAGUCAGAGGUGAAAUCCUGCAGCUCAACUGUAGAAUUGCCUUUGAUACUGAAAGACUUGAGUUAUUGUGAAGUGGUUAGAAUGUGUGGUGUAGCGGUGAAAUGCAUAGAUAUCACACAGAAUACCGAUUGCGAAGGCAGAUCACUAACAAUAUACUGACGCUCAGGGACGAAAGCGUGGGUAGCGAACAGGAUUAGAUACCCUGGUAGUCCACGCCGUAAACGAUGGAUACUAGCUGUAUGUCUACCUCAGGUAGAUGUGUGGCCAAGCGAAAGUGAUAAGUAUCCCACCUGGGGAGUACGAUCGCAAGAUUGAAACUCAAAGGAAUUGACGGGGGCCCGCACAAGCGGUGGAGCAUGUGGUUUAAUUCGAUGAUACGCGAGGAACCUUACC